rnacentral:ncRNA from 2 species
GCCAACGAUAUGAAUUUCCUUCGUAUAUCCUCGAUAAUAUGGAUCGAGAGUCUCUACCGGGCCACCGUAAAAGGCCUGACUAUGAAGGCAGAGUUUCUAUGU